rnacentral:rRNA from 1 species
GGCUUGUUGUUUAUUUAUAUCAAGUCUUACCUGCUCAAUGAUAUUAAUGUAUUAAAUGGCCGCAGUAUUUUGACUGUGCAAAGGUAGCAUAAUCAUUUGUCUUUUAAUUGGGGACUUGUAUGAAUGGUUUGAUGAGAUAUUUUCUUUCUUUAUGUAAAUGAAAUGAAUUUAAUUUUUUAGUUAAAAAGCUAAAAUUUUUUUAGAGGACGAGAAGACCCUAUAGAAUUUUAUAUUUUAUUAUAUUAAUUUAUAUUUGGUUAUUUAUUUAUUAUUAAUAUUUAAAUUAUUUUGUUGGGGUGACAGGGAAAUUUUUAUAACUUUCUUUAUUUAUAUUUUAUUAAUAUAUAUAUUUAUGAUCCUGUUUUAUGGAUAUUAAGAUUAAAUUACCUUAGGGAUAACAGCGUAAUUUCUUUGGAGAGUUCUUAUCGAUAAUGAAGUUUGCGACCUCGCAUGUUGGAUUAAAAUUAGUAUUAGGUGUAGGUGCUUAAUUUACUAGGUCUGUUCGACCUUUAAUAUUUUACA